rnacentral:piRNA from 1 species
UUGAAGUUGCAGGAAUCACCCUACUUGGAU